GCCUGGAUAGCUCAGCUGGCAGAGCAUCAGACUUUUAAUCUGAGGGUCCAGGGUUCAAGUCCCUGUUCAGGCG
rnacentral:tRNA from 2 species